AUGAUGCAGGGAGGACUUGGGGAUAGGU
rnacentral:sRNA from 1 species